ensembl:lncRNA NPEPPSP1 NPEPPS pseudogene 1
GCCCCCCAGGCUCCCCCGGUCGCUCUCCUCCGGCGGUCGCCCGCGCUCGGUGGAUGUGGCUGGCAGCUGCCGCCCCCUCCCUCGCUCGCCGCCUGCUCUUCCUCGGCCCUCCGCCUCCUCCCCUCCUCCUUCUCGUCUUCAGCCGCUCCUCUCGCCGCCGCCUCCACAGCCUGGGCCUCGCCGCGAUGCCGGAGAAGAGGCCCUUCGAGCGGCUGCCUGCCGAUGUCUCCCCCAUCAACUGCAGCCUUUGCCUCAAGCCCGACUUGCUGGACUUCACCUUCGAGGGCAAGCUGGAGGCCGCCGCCCAGGUGAGGCAGGCGACUAAUCAGAUUGUGAUGAAUUGUGCUGAUAUUGAUAUUAUUACAGCUUCAUAUGCACCAGAAGGAGAUGAAGAAAUACAUGCUACAGGAUUUAACUAUCAGAAUGAAGAUGAAAAAGUCACCUUGUCUUUCCCUAGUACUCUGCAAACAGGUACAGGAACCUUAAAGAUAGAUUUUGUUGGAGAGCUGAAUGACAAAAUGAAAGGUUUCUAUAGAAGUAAGUAUACUACCCCUUCUGGAGAGGUGCCCUAUGCUGCUGUAACACAGUUUGAGAAUGUAAUUGACCGGAAACCAUACCCUGAUGAUGAAAAUUUAGUGGAAGUGAAGUUUGCCCGCACACCUGUUACAUCUACAUAUCUGGUGGCAUUUGUUGUGGGUGAAUAUGACUUUGUAGAAACAAGGUCAAAAGAUGGUGUGUGUGUCUGUGUUUACACUCCUGUUGGCAAAGCAGAACAAGGAAAAUUUGCAUUAGAGGUUGCUGCUAAAACCUUGCCUUUUUAUAAGGACUACUUCAAUGUUCCUUAUCCUCUACCUAAAAUUGAUCUCAUUGCUAUUGCAGACUUUGCAGCUGGUGCCAUGGAGAACUGGGACCUUGUUACUUAUAGGGAGACUGCAUUGCUUAUUGAUCCAAAAAAUUCCUGUUCUUCAUCCCGCCAGUGGGUUGCUCUGGUUGUGGGACAUGAACUUGCCCAUCAAUGGUUUGGAAAUCUUGUUACUAUGGAAUGGUGGACUCAUCUUUGGUUAAAUGAAGGUUUUGCAUCCUGGAUUGAAUAUCUGUGUGUAGACCACUGCUUCCCAGAGUAUGAUAUUUGGACUCAGUUUGUUUCUGCUGAUUACACCCGUGCCCAGGAGCUUGACGCCUUAGAUAACAGCCAUCCUAUUGAAGUCAGUGUGGGCCAUCCAUCUGAGGUUGAUGAGAUAUUUGAUGCUAUAUCAUAUAGCAAAGGUGCAUCUGUCAUCCGAAUGCUGCAUGACUACAUUGGGGAUAAGGACUUUAAGAAAGGAAUGAACAUGUAUUUAACCAAGUUCCAACAAAAGAAUGCUGCCGCAGGUAAUCUUUAAUAGCUUGAGAUAGAAAUGGAGAGAAAGUAUUGUCACUCUAUCCAGGCUGGGACAUUUUAUUUUUGUUCUGAAUACUUAACUCAAGGUCAGGAUCCAUGUAAUAAAUAAAUUAGCCUUAUUUGAA